CCUGUUCCUAAAAGCGUUGCUGGUGUGGCUGCUGUGUCAUACGAGCAUCAAUAGGUGGCAGAGAGGAGAGAGGCUGUAUCUACGCUUAGUGUUCUGACCUGUGAACAUCAGAAUUAUUGGUAGCUUUCCAUC
ensembl:snoRNA Gm23835 small nucleolar RNA SNORA17